CAAGUCAGAUGUGAAAGCCUUCUGUUCAACGGAAGAAUUGCAUCUGAAACUGCUAAUCUUGAGUAUAGGAGGGGAGAAUGGAACUUCUGGUGGAGCGGUGAAAUGCGUAGAUAUCAGUAGGAACGCCGGCGGCGAAAGCGAUUCUCUGGCCUAUUACUGACACUCAGUGUGCGAAAGCUAGGGGAGCAAACGGGAUUAGAUACCCCGGUAGUCCUAGCCGUAAACGAUGGGCACUAAGUAGAGGGAAUUACCUAUAUUCUCUCUGCCGUAGCUAACGCAUUAAGUGCCCCGCCUGGGGAGUACGGCCGCAAGGCUAAAACUCAAAAGAAUUGACGGGGGCUCGCACAAGCGGUGGAGCAUGUGGCUUAAUUCGAUGCAACGCGAAAAACCUUACCGGGGCUUGACAUGAUAGAAGUAGGAACCUGAAAGGGGGACGAACGGUAUCCAGUCCGUAGCUAUCACAGGUGUUGCAUGGCUGUCGUCAGCUCGUGUCGUGAGACGUUGGGUUAAGUCCCCUAACGAGCGAAACCCUUGCUUUUAGUUACCAGCGGGUUAUGCCGGGUACUCUAGAAAGACUGCCGUCGUCAAGACGGAGGAAGGUGGGGAUGACGUCAAGUCAUCAUGGCCCUUAUGCCCCGGGCUGCACACGUGCUACAAUGGUCGGUACAGACGGAAGGGAAG
rnacentral:rRNA from 1 species